rnacentral:rRNA from 1 species
GAUGAACGCUGGCGGCGUGCUUAACACAUGCAAGUCGAACGGAAAGGCUCCUGCUUGCAGGGGUACUCGAGUGGCGAACGGGUGAGUAACACGUGGGUGAUCUGCCCUGCACUUCGGGAUAAGCCUGGGAAACUGGGUCUAAUACCGGCUAGGACGAUGGUUUGGAUGCCAUUGUGGAAAGUUUUUCGGUGUGGGAUGAGCUCGCGGCCUAUCAGCUUGUUGGUGGGGUAAUGGCCUACCAAGGCGUCGACGGGUAGCCGGCCUGAGAGGGUGUACGGCCACAUUGGGACUGAGAGACGGCCCAGACUCCUACGGGAGGCAGCAGUGGGGAAUAUUGCACAAUGGGCGCAAGCCUGAUGCAGCGACGCCGCGUGGGGGAUGACGGCCUUCGGGUUGUAAACUCCUUUCGCUAGGGACGAAGCGCAAGUGACGGUACCUGGAGAAGAAGCACCGGCUAACUACGUG